UGGAUCAUUGAUGACCAAAAAAAAAAUCAUCUGGGAGUCCUCUGAGACAUCCAUGAUGACCACAACAUUGGUAGUCUGAGGUCCAC
ensembl:snoRNA LOC120093359 small nucleolar RNA SNORD113/SNORD114 family